rnacentral:rRNA from 1 species
CCUACGGGAGGCAGCAGUGGGGAAUUUUGGACAAUGGGCGCAAGCCUGAUCCAGCAAUGCCGCGUGAGUGAAGAAGGCCUUCGGGUUGUAAAGCUCUUUUGUCAGGGAAGAAACGGUGGGGGCUAAUAUCCCUCGCUAAUGACGGUACCUGAAGAAUAAGCACCGGCUAACUACGUGCCAGCAGCCGCGGUAAUACGUAGGGUGCAAGCGUUAAUCGGAAUUACUGGGCGUAAAGCGUGCGCAGGCGGUUUUGUAAGUCUGUCGUGAAAGCCCCGGGCUCAACCUGGGAAUUGCGAUGGAGACUGCAAGGCUUGAAUCUGGCAGAGGGGGGUAGAAUUCCACGUGUAGCAGUGAAAUGCGUAGAGAUGUGGAGGAACACCGAUGGCGAAGGCAGCCCCCUGGGUCAAGAUUGACGCUCAUGCACGAAAGCGUGGGGAGCAAACAGGAUUAGAUACCCUGGUAGUCCACGCCCUAAAACGAUGUCUACUAGUUGUCGGGUUUUAAUUAACUUGGUAACGCAGCUAACGCGUGAAGUAGACCGCCGUGGGGAGUACGGUCGCAAGAUUAAAACNCAAAAGGAAUUGACGGCUGAGACGUAGCCGACGGACGACGACGAGGGAGGAGGAG